UCUGCUACGACGACGACGCUGGCGGCGUGCUUAACACAUGCAAGUCGUGCGGUAGCAAGCUCCUUUUUUGGGGUGUUGACGAGCGGCGAACGGGUGAGUAACACGUGAGUGAUCUGCCCUCUUCUUUGGGAUAAGCUCCGGAAACGGGGUCUAAUACUGGAUAUGCACUGUUCCGCGCAUGUGGGGUGGUGGAAAGCGGCCUGCUUUUUGGGUGGGUUGUGGGAGGGGAUGUGCUCGCGGCCUAUCAGCUUGUUGGUGGGGUAAUGGCUUACCAAGGCUUUGACGGGUAGCCGGCCUGAGAGGGUGAUCGGCCACACUGGGACUGAGACACGGCCCAGACUCCUACGGGAGGCAGCAGUGGGGAAUAUUGGACAAUGGGCGGAAGCCUGAUCCAGCAACGCCGCGUGGGGGAUGACGGCCUUCGGGUUGUAAACCUCUUUCGGUUCCGACGAAGCUGUGCCCUUUUGGUGGGUGUGGUGACGGUAGGUUCAGAAGAAGCACCGGCCAACUACGUG
rnacentral:rRNA from 1 species